AUGCAAGUCGAACGGCAGCACGGACUUCGGUCUGGUGGCGAGUGGCGAACGGGUGAGUAAUACAUCGGAACGUGCCCAGUCGUGGGGGAUAACGUAGCGAAAGCUACGCUAAUACCGCAUACGAUCUACGGAUGAAAGCGGGGGAUCGCAAGACCUCGCGCGAUUGGAGCGGCCGAUGGCAGAUUAGGUAGUUGGUGGGGUAAAGGCUCACCAAGCCGACGAUCUGUAGCUGGUCUGAGAGGACGACCAGCCACACUGGGACUGAGACACGGCCCAGACUCCUACGGGAGGCAGCAGUGGGGAAUUUUGGACAAUGGGCGCAAGCCUGAUCCAGCCAUUCCGCGUGCAGGAUGAAGGCCCUCGGGUUGUAAACUGCUUUUGUACGGAACGAAAAGGCUCUGGUUAAUACCUGGGGCUCAUGACGGUACCGUAAGAAUAAGCACCGGCUAACUACGUGCCAGCAGCCGCGGUAAUACGUAGGGUGCAAGCGUUAAUCGGAAUUACUGGGCGUAAAGCGUGCGCAGGCGGUGAUGUAAGACAGAGGUGAAAUCCCCGGGCUCAACCUGGGAACUGCCUUUGUGACUGCAUCGCUGGAGUACGGCAGAGGGGGAUGGAAUUCCGCGUGUAGCAGUGAAAUGCGUAGAUAUGCGGAGGAACACCGAUGGCGAAGGCAAUCCCCUGGGCCUGUACUGACGCUCAU
rnacentral:rRNA from 1 species